AGAAACAAAUCGAUCGUAGUUGGACGAUUACAAAUCGCGCGCACUGCGCUGAUGCAAGGCACGAGUAGUGUACGUGUACGUGUGACAACAUCUCACGCGCGCGGCAGGCGUUUUUUUUUGUUUGGAUUGUGUUCGUGCGCGUCACGUCACGCGUCUGAUCGUAUACGUACCGUUUAUACUACACGUACGUACGUACGUACAUUGAAUCAUCGCUGCAUUACAAGGACGACAUCGAUCGACAGGCCGGCCCACUACUCACUGCGCUCGACUCGCCAUAUUGACCGAGAUCUGUCUAACGAAGUACCAAGUUUGUCUCAUUUCUCAAAAUGUGUGAUGAUGAUAUUGCUGCAUUGGUGAUUGACAAUGGGUCUGGUAUGUGUAAAGGUGGUUUUGCUGGUGAUGAUGCACCCAGAGCAGUCUUUCCCUCCAUUGUUGGAAGACCAAGACACCAGG